CGUGUAGGCGGUUGUGUAUGUCAGACGUGAAAGCUCACGGCUUAACCGUGGAAUUGCGUUUGAAACUGCAUGACUUGAGUACAGGAGAGGAGAGCGGAAUUUCCAGUGUAGCGGUGAAAUGCUCAAAUACUGGAAGGAACACCGGUGGCGAAGGCGGCUCUCUGGCCUGAUACUGACGCUGAGACGCGAAAGCGUAGGGGAGCGAACA
rnacentral:rRNA from 1 species